AUGAACGCUGGCGGCGUGCCUAAUACAUGCAAGUCGAGCGAACAGACGAGGAGCUUGCUCCUCUGACGUUAGCGGCGGGCGGGUUAGUAACACGUGGAUAACCUACCUAUAAGACUGGGAUAACUUCGGGAAACCGGAGCUAAUACCGGAUAAUAUAUUGAACCGCAUGGUUCAAUAGUGAAAGACGGUUUUGCUGUCACUUAUAGAUGGAUCCGCGCCGCAUUAGCUAGUUGGUAAGGUAACGGCUUACCAAGGCAACGAUGCGUAGCCGACCUGAGAGGGUGAUCGGCCACACUGGAACUGAGACACGGUCCAGACUCCUACGGGAGGCAGCAGUAGGGAAUCUUCCGCAAUGGGCGAAAGCUUGACGGAGCAACGCCGCGUGAGUGAUGAAGGUCUUCGGAUCGUAAAACUCUGUUAUUAGGGAAGAACAAAUGUGUAAGUAACUAUGCACGUCUUGACGGUACCUAAUCAGAAAGCCACGGCUAACUACGUG
rnacentral:rRNA from 1 species